rnacentral:tRNA from 1 species
GGAGAUAGGGAGUAGCCAGGCUCCUAACAAUGGUGUUGUAGGUUCGAUUCCUGCUAUCUCCG